AGAGCUGCCGCGUCGGCCCACCAUCCCCAUCGUGGGCAUCAUUGCUGGCCUGGGUCUCCUUGGAGCUGUGGUGGCUGGAGCUGUGAUCUGGAGGAAGAAGCGCUCAGACAGUGACAGUGCCCAAGGCUCUGAUGCAUCUCUCCCACAGAAAGUGUGAGAAGUGGCCCUGUGGGAGACCAAGUGAUGCAAGAUUUGUUCACGCUCCCACUUUGUGACUUCAGAUGCCCACACUUCGCUUUCUGCAACUGGCAUCUGAAUGUGUGGGUGGUCCUAUUAGGAUAAUGUGAGGAGGUGAGGCGAUUGGCCCACCCCCUGCUCUCCACGACCCCCUCCCCACACUGACCUUUGUGCUUUCCCUGAUCUAAUUUCCUGUUCCAGCAGAGGUGGGGCUGGGCGGCCUCCCUCCCUGUCUUAACUCCCUGUUGCACUGAGUAGUGAUCAUUUGCUUCCUUAUUGAAAAUAUGAAUCUGGAUGUGAAUUUUUUUAUAAUUCUUGUUGUAAGGGAUUGAUGUGUUAAUUAAAGGAGAAGAUUCCUAAAGUUUGAGAGUGGAAAUAAUUGGAAGCACUGAGAACUUUCCAGAAGUCA